rnacentral:rRNA from 1 species
GACGAACGCUGGCGGCGUGCUUAACACAUGCAAGUCGAACGGAAAGGCCCUGCUUUUGUGGGGUGCUCGAGUGGCGAACGGGUGAGUAACACGUGAGUAACCUGCCCUUGACUUUGGGAUAACUUCAGGAAACUGGGGCUAAUACCGGAUAGGAGCUCCUGCUGCAUUGUGGGGGUUGGAAAGUUUCGGCUGUUGGGGAUGGACUGGAGGCUUAUCAGCUUGUUGGUGGGGUAGUGGCUUACCAAGGCUUUGACGGGUAGCCGGCCUGCGAGGGUGACCGGCCACAUGAGUACUGAGGUACGGACCAGACUCCUACGGGAGGCAGCGGUGGGGAAUAUUGCACAAUGGGCGGAAGCCUGAUACAGCAACGCCGCGUGCGGGAUGACGGCCUACGGGUUGUAAACCGCUUUCGCCGGUGACGAAGCGUGAGUGACGGUAAUGGGUAAAGAAGCACCGGCUAACUACGUG